CCACCAUUAAUCACUGAAGAUACUCCCACUGAUUAUGAAGAACUUACGGUGAUUGUUUUUGAAAAUGAGGCGCCAUAAAAUAUUGCAAAGAUUUGAAACAAAUACAAAACACAUGUGCGAAACGAAAGAAAUGCUAAAGGAAACGAGUGAAAAAAUCUCUAACAUGGAAAAGUCAUCAAAUCUGACAACUGAAAAAGAAAACAAAAAUAGAAGUUAUGCCGCCAAGACCACACCUAAACAAAUUUUGACGAAUUACAAGAUUAUCUUUGCCUAUUAGAACAAGCAGAUUUCUUUGUAGAUGCCUGUAAUACUACGAUACUUUUUGGUAACUUACUAUACAUGGCACAUUUCGCUUCAUUGUAAAAAGUAUUGACAACGAGAUUUUCCUGAUAGGCUGUACGUUUUUGUCAAUG